GCCACCGCCGGCCGGUCUUCUUCUCCGGCCGUCAGCGUCCUCUUUUCCUUCCCCUCAAUAUCCGCUCCUAAUCUUCUCCGGCGUCUCCUGCAGUCUCCUCAAUCUCCAACCUCUUGCUCCAGUGUUGUUCUUCUCUGAUUUGGAUCGAGUUUGAGUCCGUCUCCAACACAAAAUCAUGGAGUGCCCGACCCGGAUUGGACUUGGCGGCCAUAAGAAGGAAGGAUCCUCCACCGCCUGCCUGCCUUGCCUCUCGGCGUUCUCGCGUCGCGGCUCGACCUGGCCCUUGCCCUGUCUCUCGCCAUCGGCUGCCAGGUCAGGGCCCUCGCCCUUAUCCUCCUUCUCGGCGCCUGGGCCGCGAGCCACGCUCAGCCCCCUCCUUGGCUUCGAUCUGAUGGCCCUUCCCCAACCUCCUCGACCUCGACAGAUCCGGGAGGCCGCCGCUCGGUGAGGAAGGGAGUGGGGGUCAGAAGAGGGACGUUGGUGGUGUUCGAGAUGUAUCGGUGGUCACCUGUUGGCAGGGCCCUCAUGGAGACACUGGACAAGAUGAUGCUCAGUGGUGUGCUCAGCCCCGAGCUCGCCUUAAACGUCCUCCUGCAGUCCGUCCAUGAGCGGUUGGAGCACCAGGUUAAGAGCAAGGCAUUCUUCAAGUAAUUCAUCUCAUCCAGUAGCUUGAUAGUUUUUUCGGUAAGUCAUCUCAUCCAGUAGCUUGAUAGUAGGGCUGGUUUCUAUUGGUGCAUUACUUCGUAAUGAAAAUAAAUCACAUCGCCUUUACCCAAUGAUUUUUGUCCAGAACCAAUCAUAUUAUUUCUUUUCUACGAGUACUAUAUAUGUUGAUUAUUCAGAGGUCGCAUCUUCAUGAGACUUGCAAAGGUAAGACGUACGAAGAAUGAGAGAUGGUGCAAGUUUCUUAAGUUUAUCAUCCCAUUCAAGCAUCACAAAAUGUGAGUAGUACUAUUCAAAGGGGUGAAGAAAUAACAUGCUAAUCAUUUUUAGAGGGCAAACUAGCUACCAUUUUUUUAAAUGGAGUGUGGCAUUGACCUCUGAGUCUGGAGCAAUUGUACUCAAAGUGUUUGAUAUUAACAAGUGACAACUAGCCAGACUGGUUACAUGUGAUGCGCUCCCUAGAGUCGCAACAGAGGCGAUAAACUCUUAGGUAUUUUUGGUAAAAUAAAUUUGUUCUUCUGUACAUUUUGUUGUACGAGCCAAAACAUCGCAGUUUAGACAAACAACACACUGCAGCCUCUGUUUAAUUGGAUUAAAGAUGCACAUCUGCCUUUUCUUGCGUUGUGCUCAGAGCAUAGAAUUUCAUUCUGUUAAUUCAUUGAUCGUGGCAGGAUUUAAACUUCUACAGGAAAUUAGUAGUGAUUGUUUGUACUGCAUUUCAAAGUUAGAACUAAAGGAGACACGGGCAUGACAAUUACAGCAUUUGAAGGUCUAUCUUUUGCACAAUCUGAAUUUAUUAUUGUGUUGGCGAGCUAUGAAAGAACGGUGGUGCUGCAGCACUGAGGUACGUAUAUUACUUGCAAUGACAUGCAUUUGAUGGCCACCUUUACAGAAGCUCCUCUCUGGAAACAAGGAGCAAAUGACUAUUAUUUGAAAUCUGUUGUGCAUUAUUAUUUUUGGUUAUGUUCCAAAAUCCUAGAUGCAUAGCAAAGCACAUUAGUGGAUAUAUGAAUCAUUUUUGUCUACUGAUUCUUGUUCAAUUACUUUUAUGAAAGGCAAGGGUAUGCACUUUUCACUAUCAAUCUUGGAGUAAGACGUCUGCAGGUGAGGAGUAGUUGAUGAAAGCUAUUGGUUACCACACCUCUUAUUAGUGCCAAGUUGUAGCAUCUGAAUUGUUGUGGUGUUCUUUCAUAGUCUUUCAUAGCUUCAUUUAUUUUCCAUUGAUUGGCUGACCUAUAUAGUGUUGUAAUUUCCCAUAAUUGCAAACUAUCGGGUUAACAUAUUGGCAUCUGCCAGUGUUGCCCUUCAUAUUGGAAAGACUGAAAAUGCUGAAGAACUGGCUGGCAAGCAUAUUGGCAGUAGACUUCCGGUGAGACUUCAGUUUCCAUCAUCAAAGUGCUCCUAAGAUUAGUUAAGUAGAAAAUGUUUUAUUAAAGGACUCAUAAAAGCUUAUUUGGAAUUGUAUGAGGUUACUUUAUGGAACAACAACGUGUGAUAUGCUAAGUAAUAAACGGUUACAUAAGUUCAUUCAGGAGUUCACCAUCAAUUUGCUAUGGUUGUCAUAAGUCAUGGACUACAAAUGAUAUAAAUCUAUAGAUUGACCUCUUAUUAUAUCCUGAGUGCCAUAAAUUUCAAGAGAACAACAAGGCAUCUUACCUGCUUUAUUCUUCCUUGCAUAACUAUAUAUGCAACUGGACUUUAUCAUUUGUCACACUGAUUUAUACACUGUAAUUAUGUAGCCACCCAUUGCGUCAAAACGAGCCUGCCUUGGUCCAGGGAGAUAGAGAAGGUGGCUCGUUCGCAAGUUCAAGCUGGCCAUGAGCGACGCUCUUAGUCGCUCCCAGCAAUGCACUGCAUGUUGGCUGGGAUCUUACGCAGAUAGUAUCUCCAGUACUGUAAUGGCAGACUACUCCUGAUUAGUUGAGUGAUACAAUUUAUUUCCAAAUUUUUUUAUGUUUUAGCCCAUGGUUACUUGGUUAAAGAGUGUUAUGUUUUUUGUUCUCCCGUUGCAAUG